rnacentral:rRNA from 1 species
GACGAACGCUGGCGGCGUGCUUAACACAUGCAAGUCGAACGGAAAGGCCCUGCUUUUGUGGGGUGCUCGAGUGGCGAACGGGUGAGUAACACGUGAGUAACCUGCCCUUGACUUUGGGAUAACUUCAGGAAACUGGGGCUAAUACCGGAUAGGAGCUCCUGCUGCAUGGUGGGGGUUGGAAAGUUUCGGCGGUUGGGGAUGGACUCGCGGCUUAUCAGCUUGUUGGUGGGGUAGUGGCUUACCAAGGCUUUGACGGGUAGCCGGCCUGAGAGGGUGACCGGCCACAGUGGGCUAGAGGAGGGGGCCGGAGGGAAACGGCGGCCAGGGGGGGGAAUUUUGGCAAAAGGGGCGGAGGCCGGGGAGAAGAGCCCCGGGUGGGGAAGCGCGGCUUUGGGUGGAGAACGAGCUUGCGCGUGGAAAGAACGGGGAGUGACGGUAGGGGAUAAGAAAGCCCCGGCUAACUACGUG